AUUAAAUAGGUAAAACAAUUGAACUGACUAAAUAGGAUAUUGAACUAGCAGAGUUCAUGGGAUAGUAUCAAACUGUGACUUUGGUUUUGCAUUUCAUUGGUACACGAAAUUCAUAGCCCUGGCUUUAGUAGGGUGCAUGACUUUUUGGGUUGCUUAUCUUUGUCAGCUUUCCAUCACUGUAAUGAACUACCUGAGGCAAUUAACUUAUGAAGAAGAAAGGUUUAUGUAGCUCACAGUUCUGGAGGUUCCAUUCCAAGAUUGGGUGGCUCCAUUACUUUGGGCCUGGCGGGAGCACUGGGUGGGCAAUGUCAAGGAGCACAUGGUGGAACAAAUGCCUUACAUCACGAGCCAGGAAGCAGGAGUGAUUCAGAGACAGGUGGGUCAUCCCCUUGAAUGGCGAGUUCCCAGUGACCUAGGCCCCACCUAUCAGAGGUAUCCCCACCUCCCAACAGUGCUGCCUAGCUCUGAGGGUCUUGCUGGCUGGACAUGGGGGCACCGGGCGCUGGCUUCUUUGGCACUGGUCUCUUCAGCAGCCGAGCCCUCGUUGGCUGUACCUGGAGAGCCUUUUUCUAUUCUUUCCUGGCCGCCUUGCAAAAUUUCCAAGUCUUUCUGUUCCUUUUUGUUCCUGAUUCUGGCUGUAAGUCUGGCUGAAAGCAGCCAGAAUGUCCGUGCUCCAGCCUGAGUGCAUCCUCCCCGGCUGAGCCAGUUCAUCCCUUCCAGGCGUGGCCCCCCUCAAAGUCCCAGGGGAAGACAAACACACAGAGUCCUUGCUGUGGUGUAACAAGGGUGGCCUCUAGUCCGUCCCAGGACAGCCCCCCUCCCAUGUGAAGCUCUGUCUUCGCUGCCCACUGUCUGUCCACAUCACUCUGGUUUUCUGAACACCCACCAGAAUUGCCCGCUCCCCCGGACCCCUCCAGACUCCCCUGUAGGCCACAUCCGAGGGCUGUCCCUCACCUUCAGGUGUGACCAGGCAGUGGCUGCCCCUCCUCACUGGCUUCCUGUCACUCUGAAUGUCUGAGGCUGAACCCCAAAAGCUUUAUUCAUCCCGGUGGUGGUGGGUCUAGUCAAGAUGGGGCAGCCCCACGGCUUUGGGCCUCUGUCCAGGGCCCUGGGUGGCUCUGCAGGGACCGUGUGGUGGAGAGGACCACUUACGUGGUGAACCAGGAAACAGCGCCUGGGGCUGGGGUGCACACCCCCUCAAGUGCGUCCUCAGGACCUGAGGACCUGCCUCCAUCUCUCUGCUCAGCUGUCCCUCCACCUCCCGACGGUGCCACCUGGGAGCCAGCCUGCAGGAAGGCGCAGUGCCACAGGCACCUGGGCUUGAGCACCCAGCAUGGGGCCCCGCUGUCCCUCCCGGGUCCUCACACGCCCCGAAAGGAAUAGCUCUUUCCUCUCACCCCAUUCUCAGCUCACUGCCCUGUGCCCCACCUCUGAAGUCCACUGUCCCCAUGAGUAGAUUGAGGAUCCGAUUUUAUUUCCAUCAUUGGAAAGGCCUCCCUGGGCAGGACCUGCGGGCGCCGCGGAUGCCGUGGAAAUGCACCGACUCGAAUCCAGAAUAUGGCCGUUAGCAACUGGGGAUAGAAAGGAGCUCCUUGACCUGCAUGAAGUUAUGACUUAUCCGGUCAGUCUAGUGGCCGUGGAGGAGGAAGGGUGCCUUUCCCUCUCCCCGUCUUAGGUAGUGGCUGAGGCUCCUGGGAGAAAACACUGUCCAGCCACAGAAAAGCCCGGGCCUUUAUUCCAUAUGGAUUUCAUGUGGCCCAGGAGCCUCCGGAGGAAGUGAAGGUCGGGAGAGACAAACUGGAGAUUUAUUUUUAUAGUAGGGUUGAUGAAGAGUGGAGGGUGUUAGGGAACAGGCUAGGGCCAGGGGUCUCAUCUAAAGGGAAUGAACUGGGGGACGUGGCAGGGCCCAUGGCUCAGCCUCCUCUCUGGGCCCUCAACCUCAGAGGCUGGGAUGCCUCUCUCCUCCCCAUGAGGAGGGCCCAUCUCACCUGGGCCCUUAGGCCUGCUUCAGAAGUGAGUCAGAGGGUCCUGUCUUGGUUUAUGACCUGCUUCGGGGGAGAAGGGCGAGGGAGAGUCAGAGAGAAGGUCCCACAGCCGCUGCUCCCUAAAUCCCUCCAGCUUGAAAUGCCUAAUAUGCAAGGUGCUGUACUGGGGCAGCCUGUCCUGACUCCCACCAUCGCUUACCCAAGGGCUGGUGGAAAUGUUCUCAUAAAAUGUCAAAGAGGGAGAAUUCAAGUUAGAAAUGGAAAUCGCUGGGUUCACGUACUUUCCAAAAGCAAGAGCCUACCGACUUCUCUUCCCACCAUUCUCUUUGGGAGAGUUUUUAUGAAACCCAACCAACGUUUACUGAGGAUCCGAAUUUAAAGAUAGACGAAGAACGAGGAUGGAUGGGAAUUGUGGGUAGGCAAGAAAAGCUCAGCAUGGGGGGGCACACCCCAUCAGCAAACAGGAAUUGGGUACCCUAAGAGCAGAGCUGCAGCAGGAGGCGCCUGGUCCUGCACACGGACCGACUUCGGUUCUGGGGGCACAGCCAUGAAAGUGGCCCGUGGGGCUGGGCUCCUGGCUGAGGUCUCAUGG
rnacentral:lncRNA from 1 species